UGGGGAAUAUUGCACAAUGGGCGCAAGCCUGAUGCAGCAACGCCGCGUGAACGAUGAAGGUCUUCGGAUCGUAAUGUUCUGUUGCAGGGGAAGAUAAUGACGGUACCCCGUGAGGAAGCCCCGGCUAACUACGUGCCAGCAGCCGCGGUAAUACGUAGGGGGCUAGCGUUAUCCGGAUUUACUGGGCGUAAAGGGUGCGUAGGUGGUUUUUCAAGUCGGUGGUUAAAGGUUACGGCUCAACCGUAGUUAGCCUCCGAAACUGGAAGACUUGAGUGCAGGAGAGGAAAGUGGAAGUCCCAGUGUAGCGGUGAAGUGCGUAGAUAUUGGGAGGAACACCAGUAGCGAAGGCGGCUUUCUGGUCUGCAACUGACACUGAGGCACGAAAGCGUGGGUAGCAAACAGG
rnacentral:rRNA from 1 species